rnacentral:rRNA from 1 species
AUUGAACGCUGGCGGCAUGCUUUACACAUGCAAGUCGAACGGUAACAGGGAGCUUGCUCCGCUGACGAGUGGCGAACGGGUGAGUAAUGCGUCGGAACGUGCCGAGUAGUGGGGGAUAACGCAUCGAAAGGUGUGCUAAUACCGCAUACGUACUGAGGUAGAAAGUGGGGGACCUUCGGGCCUCACGCUAUUCGAGCGGCCGACGUCUGAUUAGCUAGUUGGUGAGGUAAAGGCUCACCAAGGCGACGAUCAGUAGCGGGUCUGAGAGGAUGAACCGCCACACUGGGACUGGGACACGGCCCAGACUCCUACGGGAGGCAGCAGUGGGGAAUUUUGGACAAUGGGCGCAAGCCUGAUCCAGCCAUGCCGCGUGUCUGAAGAAGGCCUUCGGGUUGUAAAGGACUUUUGUCCGGGAGCAAAUGCCUGGUGUUAAUAGCAUCGGGAGCUGAGAGUACCGGAAGAAUAAGCACCGGCUAACUACGUGCCAGCAGCCGCCGUAACAC